ACUAUGGAACCGAGGGCGGAUCUCGGCAUCUCCAUAAAAAUGUUUGAUAACAUUUUUUGGGGAUGUUUUUAGUAUUCGACAUAGU
rnacentral:tmRNA from 12 species